rnacentral:lncRNA from 1 species
UGGCUUUCUGCUGCAGGAUACUUUCCUCAAUUAGUGACCAUUUUUCCAGUUUCAAGACUGCCUCUUGCUCUUUCUAUUGCAAUUCAUCAGAGUAUGCUUUUGACAUUUGGUCUUGUAUUUCUUUCAGUUCUUUCCUGGUAAGGUCUAUCCUUUGAGUGAUGGUUUUGAACUCUUUAACAUUUAAGGCUUUUAGAGGACUCUUCAAGGCUUUGAGAUUGG